rnacentral:siRNA from 1 species
ACGGACCGCGUCGUUGGAAUCCAA